rnacentral:rRNA from 1 species
CUUCAGCUCAAAUUUGAAAUCUGGCUUCGGCCGGAGUAGUAAUUUGUAGAGGAAACUUUUGGUGAGGCACCUUCUGAGUCCCUUGGAACAGGGCGCCAUAGAGGGUGAGAGCCCCGUAUAGUCGGAUGCCGAUCCAAUGUAAAGUUCCUUCGACGAGUCGAGUAGUUUGGGAAUGCUGCUCAAAAUGGGAGGUAAAAUUCUACUAAAGCUAAAUAUAGGCCAGAGACCGAUAGCGCACAAGUAGAGUGAUCGAAAGAUGAAAAGCACUUUGAAAAGAGGGUUAAAUAGCACGUGAAAUUGUUGAAAGGGAUGCGUUUGUGACCAGACUUGCGCCGUUCCGAUCAUCCGGUGUUCACAGCGGUGCUCUCGGCCCGGCUCAGGCCAGCAUCGGAUUAGGUGGGGGGAUAAAGGUUCAGGGAACGUAGCUCCUCCGGGAGUGUUAUAGCCGUGGGCGUAAUGCCCUCGCUGGGACCGAGGUUCCCGCAUCUGCAUGGAUGCUGGCGUAAUGGUCAUCAACGACGGGUCUUGAAACACGGACCAAGGAGUCAAGGUUUUGCGCGAGUGUUUGGGUGUAAAACCCGCACGCGUAAUGAAAGUGAACGUAGGUGAGAGCUUCGGCGCAUCAUCGACCGAUCCUGAUGUAUUCGGAUGGAUUUGAGUAAGAGCGUUAAGCCUUGGACCCGAAAGAUGGUGAACUAUGCUUGGAUAGCGUGAAGCGAGAGGAAACUCUGGUGGAGGCUCGCAGCGGUUCUGACGUGCAAAUCGAACGUCAAAUCUGAGCAUGGGGGAUA